CAGCUCAAAUUUGAAAUCUGGCUUUCGGGCCCGAGUUGUAAUUUGUAGAGGAUACUUUUGAUGCGGUGCCUUCCGAGUUCCCUGGAACGGGACGCCAUAGAGGGUGAGAGCCCCGUCUGGUUGGAUGCCAAAUCUCUGUAAAGUUCCUUCGACGAGUCGAGUAGUUUGGGAAUGCUGCUCUAAAUGGGAGGUAUAUGUCUUCUAAAGCUAAAUAUUGGCCAGAGACCGAUAGCGCACAAGUAGAGUGAUCGAAAGAUGAAAAGCACUUUGAAAAGAGAGUUAAAAAGUACGUGAAAUUGUUGAAAGGGAAGCGUUUAUGACCAGACUUGGACUUGGUUAAUCAUCUGGGGUUCUCUCCAGUGCACUUUUCCAGUUCAGGCCAGCAUCAGUUUUCGCCGGGGGAUAAAGGCAGCGGGAAUGUGGCUCUCUUCGGGGAGUGUUAUAGCCCGCUGUGUAAUACCCUGGUGGGGACUGAGGUUCGCGCUUCUGCAAGGAUGCUGGCGUAAUGGUCAUCAACGACCCGUCUUGAAACACGGACCAAGGAGUCGUCUUCGUAUGCGAGUGUUCGGGUGUCAAACCCCUACGCGUAAUGAAAGUGAACGCAGGUGAGAGCUUCGGCGCAUCAUCGACCGAUCCUGAUGUUCUCGGAUGGAUUUGAGUAAGAGCAUACGGGGCCGGACCCGAAAGAAGGUGAACUAUGCCUGUAUAGGGUGAAGCCAGAGGAAACUCUGGUGGAGGCUCGCAGCGGUUCUGACGUGCAAAUCGAUCGUCAAAUAUGGGCAUGGGGGCGAAAGACUAAUCGAACCUUCUAGUAGCUGGUUUCCGCCGAAGUUUCCCUCAGGAUAGCAGUGUUGAACUCAGUUUUAUGAGGUAAAGCGAAUGAUUAGGGACUCGGGGGCGCUAUAUUGCCUUCAUCCAUUCUCAAACUUUAAAUAUGUAAGAAGCCCUUGUUGCUUAAUUGAACGUGGGCAUUCGAAUGUAUCAACACUAGUGGGCCAUUUUUGGUAAGCAGAACUGGCGAUGCGGGAUGAACCGAACG
rnacentral:rRNA from 1 species